rnacentral:rRNA from 1 species
UACGUAGGUGGCAAGCGUUGUCCGGAAUUACUGGGUGUAAAGGGCGCGUAGGCGGGAUGGCAAGUCGGUCGUGAAAUCCCUCGGCUCAACCGAGGAACGUCGAUCGAUACUGCUGUUCUUGAGGAUUGCAGAGGAGACUGGAAUUCCCGGUGUAGCGGUGAAAUGUGUAGAGAUCGGGAGGAACACCGGUGGCGAAGGCGGGUCUCUGGGCAAUUCCUGACGCUGAGGCGCGAAAGCGUGGGGAGCAAACGGG